rnacentral:misc_RNA from 1 species
CGUCAGUGUUCCUUUGGAUCUCAGUGGCGUAGGAUGCAUUCUAAAUCUCGGGAGUAAAUCUAUUGUGUUAACUUUGCGUUUCGGGACUUGGAUUGGCUUCGAGGAGCAGAUUUUUUGAUUUGGGUGUGAAUGGAGUGAUGUUGCAUGAGUAUGAACGACACGCCGGGCGGUGGCGGUGGAUACGGUGAUGGCAGCGCCCGCGCCUACGGCACCGGAGAUGGGGGUGCGGGCGGGAUGGGCGGGCGGAGGAGUCACGCCCGCAGCGCCUCCCAUGGGGGCAUUAUGAUCACCCACCAGCCUCAUUUGGAUCAGGGGCAUGCGGCGGGCACUAUGCCAGUGGGCGUGGGCGGGCUGGGCGGCACUCCGACGAGCAGCGGCGGAGGCGGCGGCUCUAGCGGAGGAGGGUACGUGAAGGGUCACCAGCGCGCCUUCUCCCAUGGGCAGCUGGUGGAGGGCGGGAGGGGGCACCGGAGGGCGGGUUCGAGGACGGACUUCAUCCUGCCGGAGGGCCACGAGCAGCGCACGCGGGAGAGGGAGCAGCAGCACCACCACCACAAGAAGACGCUGAGCCGCUCGUCCUCCUUCCCGAAGGGCCACUCGCGCCAGGCCUCGCGCUCGGAGUCCAUCUACACCAUCCGCCAGCACAAGAGGACGCUCAAGCAGAAGAUCAUGUUCUGGAAGAAGGUUCCGGAGGAGUCGCGGACGCGCGUGGUGGUGGCCAACCACGUGGUUCCGCCGCACGUGUCGCGGACACAGCACCCGAACGGCUCGUACCCCGACAACCGCAUCUGCACCACAAAGUACACCAUCCUCUCCUUUCUGCCCAAGAACCUGUUCGAGCAGUUCCACAGGUUUGCCAACCUGUACUUCCUGUUCAUCGUUCUGCUCAACUUCGUGCCGGCGGUGAAUGCCUUCGGGAAGGAGGUGGCAAUGUUGCCCCUCAUCUUCGUACUGGGCAUCACCGCCAUCAAGGAUGCCUUCGAGGACCGCCGCAGAUGGCACUCGGACAACCGCGUCAACAAUGCCACCUGUCGCGUCUACAACAGAGACCAAGGGAGAUACGUGAAGACCAAGUGGAAACAUGUAAAAGUGGGUGACAUCAUCCAUCUCUCCUGCAAUGAGACCAUCCCUGCUGACAUGGUUGUUUUGAACUCCUCGGAUGAGUAUGGGAUGUGUUUCAUCGAGUCUUCCAAUCUAGAUGGAGAGAGCAACCUGAAGCAGAGGCAGGCUGUGAAGGGACUGGGCAUGGAUGAAAGGUUUGAGGUAUCGAAGUUUGACUACAUGAUGGAGAUUGGGGCUCCCUCGACCAAGAUCUACCACUUCACAGGUACCAUCCCUCUGCCCUCAGGCGAACGCGUGCCCCUCACCAAAGACAAUCUUUUGCUGAGAGACUGUGCUCUUCGAAAUACAGAUUAUAUUGAAGGCAUUGUUGUUUACGCAGGACGUGAAACAAAAGCCAUGCUGAACAAUGGUGGCACAAGGUACAAACGCUCCAAGCUUGAACGCAGGAUGAACAUCGAAGUCAUCUGGUGUGUGGUCAUCCUGUUCCUUAUGUGCCUCAUCUCUGCAGCAGGUUCGGGUCUGUGGCAGAGUUCCUAUGAGGUGAACGCUACCCUAGGGAUGGUGCCCUUCAUCCCGCCAGAAAGUUUGACAGCGACAAGCUCUAAAUUGAAAUUGGCAAACAAACCUAUAUGGGUUGGCUUUAUAAGUUUCUGGACUUUUGUAAUAAUCUAUCAGGUUAUCAUUCCAAUAUCACUUUAUGUAACCAUUGAAGUAAUAAAGCUGAUGCAGGUUUACCAUAUACAUAAUGACAAAGACUUCAAAGACAAGAAAAGUGGAAAAACUAUUGAGUGCAGGGCGUUAAAUAUCCCAGAAGAAUUGGGGCAAGUGGAGUAUGUUUUCACUGAUAAAACUGGAACACUGACUGAAAACAAUAUGGUCUUCCAGCGUUGCUCAAUUAAUGGCACUGAUUACCCGCAUACUCCUGUUAUAAUUAGCAAGGAAGAGAAAAAGUCAGACCAGCGGGAUACAUUUACCCUGAAUAAUCAACUGCAGGAAGAUUUAGCAUCUAUCGAACUUCCAAUGAUUUACGCUCAGCCAGGGAGUCGGCAGAACCCUUCCUCCAUCACUCCAUCAAAAGAUUCUCCAUCUCAGAGAAUCAUUGACUUUUUCUUCACCCUGGCAGCAUGCAAUACUGUUAUUGUGGCAAAGUAUCCCCAUCAUGAUCAGAUGAAUGCAAGUGGUAUGAUAGUGCCAAAUGAAAGUGCCAACAAUUCCAGUAUUAGUGAAGUGGACAACACUUCCUUCAACACCACCACUAGUAGUAUUGGCUCCACAUCAUGGGCUCCCAACCGUCUGUUACGGGGCCUACUCUCAUUCUCCCGCCCCCUGUCCCCUAUUGCCUCCUCUCCACGCAGCACCCCACCACUAACCCCAGAGGCCUCACCACGUUACUCCGUCCCACCUGCUCGCCACACUCCACCCUCGGUUAGUAUCACCCUCAACCCCAUCAGCCAUUCCAACAACCUGGAAAGCGUCCAGGAGUCACCCGGCAGCAUCCACCCUUCCGCCAACUCCAGUCCUACCAGACCCUCCCUCCUCAACAUCCAGGCAGCACAAAUGUAUAACUCUAGUAUCAUGAGAGAGACACGUUCCCUCACUCCUUCCCCCAUGGACAUCAAGCCCAUCUACGAAGCUGAGAGUCCAGACGAACUGGCGCUUGUUGAUGCUGCGUACAAAUAUGGAUGCCGUUUACUCAGGAGAUCCUUGCACAACAUUCUAGUGUCUUUGCCAGGAUAUGGGCUUCGUGAAUAUGAAGUCUUGCACGUACUUCCAUUUGAUUCUAAUCGCAAGAGAAUGUCCAUCAUUGUCAGAGAUCCUGAGACUCAGGAAAAAGUUCUCUAUUGUAAAGGUGCUGAUUCUGCCAUACUAGACAACUUAAGUAGAGCAGUAGAUGAUAAGACCAAGCUGAGAAUAUUCCGCACUCAGCAGCACCUUAACAUCUACUCCAAGAAGGGUCUUCGUGUCCUUUGCAUGGCAAAGAGAGUCCUUACAGAGCCAGAAUAUGAAGACUGGGCCAUGAAGCACAAAGAGGCCGAGAAUGCGCUUUCAAACAGGGAGCGUAAACUCCAAGAUUCGUAUCUUAGAAUAGAGAAGAAUUUAAGUUUAAUAGGUGCCACUGGUAUAGAGGAUAGGUUGCAAGAUGGCGUACCUGAAACAAUCAAAGCCAUGAGAAAUGCUGGCAUUGUGGUGUGGGUGCUUACAGGGGACAAACAGGAAACAGCAGUUAAUAUUGCUUAUUCAUGUGCCCUGUUUUCUUCUGAUAUGGAGAUUCUGAAACUGAAUGCUCGCACAAAAGAUCAAGCAGACAGAACAAUCCAGUUCUACACACAACAAAUAGAACAGCAAGAGGAAGCCUGGCAACGGCAACAGUUGCAGGCUGCAGCCAAUGGUAGUAUUGGCACAUCAAGAGAUCACCCUGUUGAAUUUUCAAACCUGCAGAACCGCAGCAAUCAACCCAGGCCCCCCAAAGAACGAGGUCUGGUCGUUGAUGGAAGGACUCUGAUAUUUAUUCUGGAUCGUCGGGCAAAUUUGAAGAAGGCUUUCCUGAAUCUUGCUGGAAAGUGCUCUGCUGUAUUGUGUUGUAGAGCAACACCUUUACAGAAAUCUCUUAUUGUUCGAAGUGCCAAGGAUAGUCUUAAGGUUCUUACUUUGGCAGUUGGUGAUGGUGCCAAUGAUGUGCCAAUGAUUCAGACUGCAGAUGUGGGAGUAGGCAUCUCUGGCCUAGAAGGAAAGCAAGCAGUGAUGGCGUCAGAUUAUGCCAUUGCCCGAUUCAAACACCUUGAGAAACUCCUACUAGUCCAUGGGCACUGGUGCUAUGACCGGCUUUCAAGAAUUAUUUUGUACUUCUUCUAUAAAAAUGCUUCCUUCGUAAUGAUCCUGCUAUGCUACCAGCUGUACACUGGCUUCAGCGGCAGCAGCAUGAUUGACCAGAUGUACCUGAUGGUGUUUAACCUGCUCUUCACCUCAAUCCCUCCUAUUAUUGUUGGUAUUUAUGAUCAAGAUGCGCCAGCGGAGGUGCUGCUCUCCCAACCCCAGCUCUACGCCCAAGGCCGGGAGAGUAGGCUCUACAAGUCGCAUUCCUUCUGGAUCAAUAUUGUCGAUGCAAUAUAUCAGGCCAUCGUUUUGUUCUUCUUUGCUGCUGUUCUCCAUGAGGACUCUGAUGCUGGGAUGUAUGAGUUUGGCUUGACAAUAACGCACGCCACACUUGUGGCACAGCUGCUACACCUAAGCAUUGAAACUAAAUCAUGGACAAUUAUCCAUGUCUUUGGGAUAGUGGUUUCAUUAUUAAUUUUCUACGGGUUUGGUGUGCUUUACACCAUGACUUGUGUAUCUUGUUUUGGGUCACCUAGUCAGUUUGGAGAGUUGAGUCAUGCCAUACAGUCUCCAAUUCAUUGGCUGACAAUAAUGCUCACGUCAAUACUUGCAGUCUUACCUAGGUUCGUUGUUCGCUCUCUAAGCUGUUCUCUAAAUCCUGAUGACAUAACACAAGUUUUAAUAGAGAACAGACGGUCCAAACGCCAUGACUUCAUGACCUCAUGGUCACGAUCUACCUCCUCAUCUUCUGUGUACAGACGCCGAGAGCCUGACCACUAACCUUAAGAGUGGGCCAGAGGAAGGCAACGAUAACCUGAUCACUUGCAAAAGUCCCAAGAUGAAUAUGAAGUAGAAUAAACUUCUGUCCCCCUUUUAUUUUGCUUGAUUUUUAUUUAUUUUUUAUUUUUUUAUUAUAAUGAAGUCAUGGGUUUAGGGAAGAAUUAAAUGGUUGUUGGAUUCUUUAGUGUUACUACAUACACAAAAGAGAUAUUUGUUUUGUCAGAUUUUUUUUUCUUUUUUCACUGUGCAUAUUUAUGUUUUCAACCUUUAAGUAAAUAUAUUAGUAUUAAAUUAUUAAGAUGUUCUUCCACACAAGUCCAAUAUUUUUCCAAGACAACCUCUUUAGUCUUGACAUUUCAAGUAAUUAAGGAUUUAUCUUGCAUUCCCUGGAUGCACCGAAUGUUCCUGGCAAUAAAGGAGUCAGAACCAGGCCCAACUAUGAGGCAGAAACCGGUGACGAAGCCUCGGAACCCCUGAGCUCCAUGGUUACUACCACCACGGUCCUAACUACCACGGAAGAAGCCGAAGUGUGAGAAGGAUUGAAAAGGCAGAGGAAUUUUUAGUGCUGUUACAAUUAUAUUGGGAGAGAGGAGGAAGAUGAAAGGAAUGGAAGAGGAAAUGGUUGAGUGACGGUUCCUCUGUCUAAUCUUGUGGAGAUCUUGUGGAAGGUGUUUAAUGAGUGAAGAUGGUUCUCCAAGCUGUGUAGAGGUGAAGCUGUGGAAAGAUGGAUGCUUGCAAACGACCAUUGAUCUUCUGUAGCAUUUUAGGGUCUGCAGGAAUGGAGUGAUUCAGGAAAAUUCACAUUGCAGAUUGGAAGGAAAAUGAAAAAAAGAGACUUUGAAGAUAAUCACUGCAAUAUGUACACCAUUUUGUCUAAUGUGACUAGUGUGAAAAUGGAGUGCGAUUGCCAGAAAGUGCUUAGAUGUGGCUUCAGUGCUAUGAGGCAGGACUAGGUUUAUCUAAUAAUUUGUCGCCAGUAAAGCACCACCUCAGGAAAUUCAGGUAGUGUAACAGUGUCAGAAAAAAAAAAUAACCGAAAAAAAAGAGAAUGUUCUCUAAGUAGCAUGUAGUGUUUUAUUUAUCUUUCUUAUGAUCUUAUUUAUAAUUAUCAUUAUUAUCAUUUUUUAACUAUUUUCUUUAGUUUGUUUGUAAUUUGAUCACGCUUGGAUAUGCUUCAAAAGACUUGCAUGAUGCAAUAAAAGAAAAAAAGGAAAAUCAAAGAGCAACAAGAAUUAUCAUAUUAUAUGUUAAAGCUAAAUAUUAAUUUUGGGGCUUAAACCAGGAUAUCCCAAAGGUAGUGUCUUAGAAAACACAUUUAUAUAGGGAAGAUACAUAUCAAUUUUUUUCAUAUCUUGUGAAACAUUUAUCAAACAUUGUAUUAUUAUUAUUAUUAUUAUUAUUAUUAUUAUUAUUAUUUUUAAGAUAAGUAAGUGGUAAAAUCAAUCAUGAGAAGGGAGCGAAGGUAAUUAAAGGUGACAUAAUCCAAGUGAUUUUUUCAACAUUCCAGUAAUCUGUAGUAAACAAAGGGUACUUAACAUGUCAAAGCCAAAGAUGAUACCAGCUGUUUUUGGAAAGCAUAGAUAGAGAGUACUUUUACAUAGGUUUAGCUAUCUUCUUCAGGGGACUUGCAAUUAUGUGCCUUCGUGGUUUUGUCAUGUGCUUCCAUACUUGCGCAAGUCUGGAAGUUGUGCCAAUGAAUGCUGUGACAGAUAUGGACUUUGUUUUCUAUAAUAUUAGGAAGUCGUUUCUGGGGUGAAUGCAGAUGUGACAUAAGUCUUGAAUGAUGCAAAUUAUGAUGGUUUAUCUUUAUUUAUUUAUCAUUUUUUAAAGUGUUUUUCAUCCUAGUAUUUAUAUUUCAUUGUGAUCAUGAUUUAUAAUACCUUCUAAAGUGAAAAAUGGUUUAUAUAUUUUUAUUUGUAGUGGAUAUUUCUUCUAUCCAUAUUCCAUACAACCAUAAAAUUGCACAGUAUUCUAGAUUUUUAAUAUUUCAUCGUCAUGGAACGCAACUGGUAAUGAAAGUCAUUUGUACACACAAGUAAAAUCAACUUCUAUACUGCUAAAGAAAACUGAUGGUGAUAUAUGAUGCUAUUUUUGUUAAGAAAAAAAAAAGAAAAGAAAUUUGCCUUUCAAACUCAAGGCCUUAUGGGAUACUCUAAGCCUUCAUAUUCGGAGAUGCUACAUAAAUUAUUGUAAGACACACUCUGUAAUCCUCGUUUGUUAUUCAGUUGUUAUUAGUAAGGUGGCAUAGGGACCAGAGAUUGUGUAAUGAUCUGUUUGUACUAUAGUGAAAACAGUUUUUUACUUCCUCAGAGGAUUGGAAGCUAUUCAGAUUUUUAAUUUUAUUACUCUGUUUUUGUCAAUUUACUUCACUUACAUGAAAUCCACCAAGAAACUUAUAUAGUUUUGAUUUAUUUUGUUCUAAUUGUUCUUUUCUUUAUUUAGUGUCCCGUUAUUUUGAAGAAAUUCACCUUCAGUGAUAUUAUCUGAUUAACAGUUUAUAAUGAUAAUUUAAACGUGCUAGAUAUUUUUCAUUGAUAAUCAUAAUCAUUGUCAUUACUGGUAAAGGAGGGCAUUAUUUCAACAGUGAAUGUAUCAAAAUGCUUCAUAUAAUAGCAGUGAGGUUGUGUAAUUCCUGUAAUUCUAAAUUUUAUCAAGGAUCCCGAUAAUGAAGUAUAAAAAGGUAUAUAACUACAGUAUCUGCCAUAUCUUGGGCAUUAGUGCCUGCAGUCUUUCUUGUGCCAAAUAGGCCAUAUGGGAUAAUCUUUCUGAAUCUAGAUUUUACAACCUGUUGCCAGAAAAUUAUACUAAAAUUCAUUGACUUGCAUGAUGAAGGCUUUUGUCAAGUAUGCAUUAUAAAGCACAGUUGUGUUUCUGUCUAGUAACAUGGAAUUGUGCACACUAAGUUCAUGCUAUUGGAUUGCUAGCAUUAUAUUGCAUUUUAAAUCUUUGUCCUUCAAUGUCAAAUGUCUGUUGCCUACUGUGAUGCCACAAUAAUUUUUUUGUUUUGGGGUAAGAUGAGUUAAGUUGGAAUGAAACAAGGUUGUACAUAGAGUUUCAGGAUUGAUGCCAAUGAUCAAAGUGCGAUAAGGGGUCAUAUUUUACAGUACUUGUAAACCCCCUGCUGCUGAAGAUUUGGCUUUUGAGGUUUGCAAACUGGAAAAUUUAGUAUCCCUACUUUUUAAAAGAGAAUACAGAUUCAAACUUUAAUUUUAUACCAUUAUUUAUUAAAACCAAAGUCUGGUGAGACUUUCCUUUCUCUACAUGUAUUCUAGUCAAUUCAAGGUUGAUUUUUAUUUUUAUUUUUCUUUGUUUAUUUUUAAUGCAGAAGGAAAAAAAGGUACUUAGCCAAUUGCAUGAGUAAUUAAUGCUGAUUAUUGUGCAAGUGACUUUUUUCAGCAUUGCCAUAAAUUUUAUGUACAGUACAUCCCAGGAUAACACCAAUUCUUUUCAGUAAGAAUGUGUUGAAUACAUUCCAGUAAUUUUUGUGUGUUGUAAUUGGUGAACUGAUUAAUGUAUAUAUUGAAUUGCCUCCUUAGAGGUUUUUCUUAUCAGCAGUUCAGAUAUUUGUUAUUUUUAUCUGGAUUGGAAUUUUGAUUUUGGAAAUAGAAGUUCAGUCCUGUUGUUAACAUGAAACAAUAUCCCUGUGAUUUGUACAUAUAUAUAUAUUUGUCAUACUGUGAAAUGGCUGCACAUGAUAUAUCUUAAAUACCAAUGAUUUUUAUUGUAAUGUCCGUGAUGGAGAGUUUUAAUUAUUUUGACCUUUUUUGGGGGGGAGAUUUGUUACAUUGUGAGAUUUGAGUUUAUUCAAAUAAGUAUAUAUCAUGAUGUGGCUAAGGGUGAAGAUACAUACCAUACAAACUAUCUGGAUGCUAUGUGUGUAAGCAUUGCACAAGAUAUUGUGUACUAAAAGUUUUGUUGAAAAUAUAUUUAUAGGCCAUAAUAAAUAUUUUAGUGUAA